AAUAGCUACUGGAGGAAGGGGAGAGCACGACCAGACCAGAGGAAGAGAAGCUCAGUCCCAUGACCAUGAGACUUGAGGUAGCAGGAGAAAGACAUAGUGCCCGUUUGGCAUCCCGUUAUAUACGUGGUGUUUGAAUUAACGUGAUUUUGUUAAAAUGAUUUUGAGUAAAAUUGUGUUUGAGUAAACGUGAUUUAUGUUUGGAUGAUUUGUUACAAACGCGACUUUAAAAAAAUGAAUAUUGUUUGGAUGAUUUGUAACUAAUGUGAUUUCCGAUAAUAAGUUUGGAAUUAUAAUUAAAAAAGACAUUAUCUUAAUCAAAACCAAUAUUAACCGAAGAAAACUCAAAAUUAACAAGCUGUAUACAAAAAUUAAAAUACUUUUCAAACAAAAAAUUCAAAUAAUAGUGGCCAAGAACAGAGCACCCAGUCCCUUCCAAACAUGUACUUGCAUCCUCUUCUCCUUUUUCCUUAAAUUUUCCUGAAUCCCCAAAUUGUCUAGGCGAAAUCAAACACCAAGCAACCACAGAAACACAAGUCUUGGUCGCUGGAUGUUCAGAUUUCCUGCAACGAUGAAAUUGGUGAGUGAGAAGAGGAAAGAAAUCUGAAAAAAGAUACAUAAAUUCCAGAUCUUAUGACGCUAUUUUGGGGCAGAUGAGCGUUGAUGCAUUUUGCAGAACGCAUAUCCAAACAGGGUUGCAGAUCUGAAGAACCACGUAAAUCUAAACGCAACGCGCGUUUUCUGGCUGAAACGCCAAAACAAACAGGCCCAUAAACUUUGUGCUUAAAAGCUUUGUAUCAAUAGGGUCCCUUAUGCGUCUGAUGUGUGUGGUGUGAGUUAGUGUUUUGGUUGUUCAAUAGCAAAGGGUAUGAGAAUUUCAAUUGUAUUAGCUCCUUAGUCCUUACUGUAUUAUACAUGAUAGAUUUAUGAGAAGAGGAAAAUAGGAUUUUAGCUUAUCUAGCUGUUAACUAAUUAAGUUGGAAAAUGGAAAAAUUUGACUUUCAACUUUUGAAAGAGAACUUAUAAUUCGUUUUGUUUUGCUUAGAAAGUUUUGGAAUAGCACUUGAAAAUACAUGUCUUCAUGUACCAUUGAUGGUUGUAGCAAAAAUACUUUAAAAUAAGAAUAAUUCUUCGCAACUUUUACUUGUUCCAGGACUCCUUGUUACUGCCAUUUUUUUUUAGGGGCAUAAUGAGGUUUCAAUUCUAAUUAAUUUGAGGCUGAUUUCUAUCAUGAAAAGGGACUACUAUAUAUAUAUAUAUAUUGAGUUCUUUAAACCACAAUCCCUAUUUUAAUAUUAACUGUACUUUAGAGUGUGUAUUUUGGAAUUGUAAUUUUGGAAACCGUAUGUUGAAAUGGAAGUAUGUUAAUUGUCCAUUCUUUUUAAUCUUUUGAAUUUCAACCCAGAAAUGAAAUUAAAGAAACCCCUUUUAGGCUAUUGAACUAUUAUGUGGGUUAGUAGCUUUCCAAUCGAUUAAAUUUGCCCUGUCCUUAGAAUCUUAAUUACUGAAAAUGAUUUUGAAAUUUACUUAGGAGAAGUCUCAUGUUGAUUCAAGGUUCUAAUUUUGCUUUCACGUGAAUAUAGUAGGCAGGUGGCCAAUUGAUAAAUCAUUUUUGCAAAAUUGGCAUUGGAUUAGAAAAGGAAAAAUUCUUAUGUUUUGUAUUCUAAAUCAUUUGUAUUACCACUUCAAAUUCUUUGAUCCUAGGUGUAGACUUUUAGCAAAUGCAAUUGGUGAAUCAGUAGAUGAUGACAUACAUGAUUAGAAUAUUAAAGAUUGUACUUAGUAGUACAAUGCUUAAUUUAAAAUGGCAGUUUUAUUUCUUCAUUAGUCUUAGUUCUUAAGGUUCUCUUAAAUAUGCUAUAAGUACAUUAAAUUUUGGACUCUAAAACAUACAUCACAAUCUUUUGGGAAAAUUAAUUAUGAAACUUAUUACCUUGUGUGUUAGGGCACGGCUGAGAGCUCUAUAAGCUCUAGGAAGCCUUGAUUUACUUUGAAAACUCGUAUUUUAAUGGGUUAAAUGUUUAAGGAAUUAUGUAUGAGUUAUUUUCUUAUGAUGGAAGUCUUGGAGGUUAACUAGUUAACUAAGGUUAAUAGAUUCCAUGAUUCACAUGAAGUACAUGACUAAGCAACUGUUUGGGUAUUGUUUUAAUUAAGAGUUUAGUGUGCGUAGUAUUGUGAAAGUGCCUCAAUGAGUAUUCUAAUAGAGACUGAGAACUCUAAGGAAAACGAGAGGAGUAAGUACUAGUAAUGUAUACCUUUCUAUUUUAACAAAGAUAUGAGUAGUUGGUUUUAAAGUUGAUUCCUAAGUCAAAAGCUUUUUGAAGUAUUGAAUAUUGUUACUGUUUGGUUGUCAUUAUGACGACUUGUCUUGAUUUCUGUAAUUGAUCCUAAUGAGUUAUCACCAUUAUGGGGAUUAGGUUUAGCAUACGUUCGCUUCGAGUCAAUUGCCGGAAGUUGUAGCUUUAGACUUGGAAAGUAGGUAACUCAAUUAGUAAUUACGUUAUGUGUACUUAUGAAGGGUACGGAUAACGGAAGCGCUUGGUGACGAAGCCAAAGGACCAAAGGAAGCGACCUAACACGUGAAAACAAAGAUAUGAUUGGAUUGGAUUUGAGUCGUAGCUUAGUAAGGAAAGCGCCUAAGUGAGUUGACCCUCGCGCCUUGGCUUUGGUUGUAUGUUUGUGUUUGGGCGGUCGGCCUGCUGCCAGACGACGAAAGGAGGUGAUGUGAGCAAAUGCUACUCCACGUGGAAGAACUAUAGAAGACUUGAAGAAUAGAGUCGGGUGUAGGGCUAGAGCCUUUGGGUAGAAAAGCUUACCGUUAUUGGUUUAAGCUUGCAGGAUCAUUUUAUGAUUUGUAUUUGAGGUUUUGGGUAGGUUCCGGUGCAUUGCUUUCCUAUGGUUACCCCGUGUGGAAAUCAUAGGGAGUAUAUCGGAUCUAUGGAGUCAUCGCAUAGUGAGUUCGUUGUUGGAUCUUAGUUUAUUUGUCAUGUAUUUUAUGUUGUGCCUUGAUCUAGGCCAGGUGUAAAUUAUAUACGGUUGGGAGUAUGCAUUACAUAUUUUAGAAACACUUCAAAAAGAAAAAAAAAUACUCACAUUUAUAAA